GACGAACGCUGGCGGCGUGCUUAACACAUGCAAGUCGAGCGGUAAGGCCCUUUCGGGGGUACACGAGCGGCGAACGGGUGAGUAACACGUGGGUGACCUGCCCUCAGCUCUGGGAUAAGCCUGGGAAACCGGGUCUAAUACUGGAUAUGACUCCAUGACGCAUGUUGUGGGGUGGAAAGCCUUGUGCGGCUGAGGAUGGGCCCGCGGCCUAUCAGCUUGUUGGUGGGGUGAGGCCUACCAAGGCGACGACGGGUAGCCGGCCUGAGAGGGCGACCGGCCACACUGGGACUGAGGACACGGGUCCAGACUCCUACGGGAGGCAGCAGUGGGGAAUCUUGCGCAAUGGGCGAAAGCCUGACGCAGCGACGCCGCGUGAGGGAUGACGGCCUGG
rnacentral:rRNA from 1 species